GAUGAAGAACGUAGCGAAAUGCGAUACUUGGUGUGAAUUGCAGAAUCCUGUGAACCAUCGAGUCUUUGAACGCAAGUUGCGCCCGAAGCCACUAGGCCGAGGGCACGCCUGCCUGGGCGUCACACGCCGUUGCCCCCCCAUCUACUCCUUCGGGAUUGCGGGGGGGCGGAUGAUGGCCUCCCGUGCGCCUAGCCGCGCGGUUGGCAUAAAUACCAAGUCCUCGGCGACGCACGCCACGACAAUCGGUGGUUGCGAAACCUCGGUUGCCCGUCGUGUGCGUUCGUCGCGCAUCGAGGGCUCGAAAAAAUGCUCGGCUCCGGCUGGGCUUUCAACGCGACCCCAGGUCAGGCGGGGUUACCCGCUGAAUUUAAGCAUAUCAAUAAGCGGAGGA
rnacentral:misc_RNA from 1 species